CACACUGGGAUUGAGAACGGCCCAGACUCCUACGGGGGGCAGCAGUGAGGAAUUUUCGUCAAUGGGGGCAACCCUGAACGAGCAACGCCGCGUGCAGGACGAAGGUCUUCGGAUCGUAAACUGCUUUUCUCUGGGACGAGAAGGGACGGUACCAGAGGAAGAAGCCCCGGCUAACUACGUGCCAGCCGCCGCGGUAACAC
rnacentral:rRNA from 1 species